rnacentral:rRNA from 1 species
AGUGAACGCUGGCGGUAGGCCUAACACAUGCAAGUCGAACGGCAGCACAGAGGAGCUUGCUCCUUGGGUGGCGAGUGGCGGACGGGUGAGGAAUACAUCGGAAUCUACUCUGUCGUGGGGGAUAACGUAGGGAAACUUACGCUAAUACCGCAUACGACCUACGGGUGAAAGCAGGGGAUCUUCGGACCUUGCGCGAUUGCAUGAGCCGAUGUCGGAUUAGCUAGUUGGCGGGGUAAAGGCCCACCAAGGCGACAAUCCGUAGCUGGUCUGAGAGGAUGAUCAGCCACACUGUAAGUGAGACACGGUCCAGACUCCUACGGGAGGCAGCAGUGGGGAAUAUUGGACAAUGGGCGCAAGCCUGAUCCAGCCACACCGCGUGGGUGAAGAAGGCCUUCGGGUUGUAAAGCCCUUUUGUUGGGAAAGAAAUCCAUCUGGUUAAUACCCGGGUGGGAUGACGGUACCCAAAGAAUAAGCACCGGCUAACUUCGUGCCAGCCGCCGCGGUAA